rnacentral:sRNA from 1 species
AUUCUGCCCAUGCGGGGAAGGAUGAGAAGCUUCAACCAAGGUUCGACUUGAGCGCCAGCGAGAGAGCGUU